rnacentral:rRNA from 1 species
UACGUAUGAGGCAAGCGUUGUUCGGAAUUAUUGGGCGUAAAGGGCAUCUAGGCGGGAUGUUAAGUCAGAUGUGAAAGACCACGGCUCAACCGUGGGACUGCAUUUGAUACUGACAUUCUUGAGUUCGAUAGAGGAAGGCGGAAUACCCGGUGUAGCGGUGAAAUGCGUAGAUAUCGGGUAGAACACCGGUGGCGAAGGCGGCCUUCUGGAUCUGGACUGACGCUGACAUGCGAAAGUGUGGGGAU